ensembl:lncRNA
CGUGUCGUGAGGCGGCGCCAUGUUGUCGGGGGACCCCAUGUUGUGAGGCGGCGCCACGUUGUCGCGGGACGCCAUGAGGUGAUGCCACGUUGUGAGUUUGAAAUAAGUGGAAAACAUGGACCUGUUGGAUGUGGGAUUAUGUUGAAACAGUACAGCAGGAGUCCAAAUGGGAGAGGAAAUCUGUGCACAACCAGUGCCACCACGAGAUAAAUAAGCAGCAGGAACCAGGAGGAGGAGGAUCUGAGGAGCUGUGACCUUGCAUUGCUCUUGCUCUACAUGGCCAACUGCCUGAACUGAACGUAUACCCUUGUAACUCCGGAAUCUGAUUCAAGCAAACCUGCUGCGAUUAGAUUCAGAUCAGUGUGAGAAAAGAUGUCC